UCACAACUUGUAUUACCCUACUGUCAUUGUGCAGGAAUGUUGGGAGAUGUGAAGCUUCUCCAAGCAGCCUUCCAGAACAAAUUGUCCAAAGUUGCAUUGAAAAGUUAUUUGACAUUUUGAAGAAUCAAACUAGCCACAAUGAAACUGUCAAAACACUUAAAACCAUAGAGCAAGCUCUGGAGGAAAGAGAGGUGACUGCAGGGACACUCAAAAUGACAAACAUUUUGGCUUUCAUACAAAAGCCCACUAUUCCUUUCAACGGUCUUACCAUUUCUGCC